CCAAUAGCGUAUAUUAAAGUUGUUGCAGUUAAAAAGCUCGUAGUUGAAUUUCGGGGUUAGUAGAUUGGUCAUGCCAUCGGUAUGCACUGGUCUCACUGAUUCCUCCUUCCUGAUGAGCCGUAAUGCCAUUAAUUUGGUGUUGCGGGGAAUUUGGACUGUUACUUUGAAAAAAUUAGAGUGUUUAAAGCAAGCUAACGCUUGAAUACAUUAGCAUGGAAUAAUGAAAUAGGACGUUCGAUCCUAUUUUGUUGGUUUCUAGGAUUGACGUAAUGAUUAAUAGGGAUAGUUGGGGGCAUUAGUAUUCAAUUGUCAGAGGUGAAAUUCUUGGAUUUAUUGAAGACUAACUACUGCGAAAGCAUUUGCCAAGGAUGUUUUCAUUAAUCAAGAACGAAAGUUAGGGGAUCGAAGACGAUCAGAUACCGUCGUAGUCUUAACCAUAAACUAUGCCGACUAGGGAUCGGAUGAUGUUAAUUUUUUAAUGACUCAUUCGGCGCCUUACG
rnacentral:misc_RNA from 1 species